UGAUCAUCUUCGUUGUCACGCCUGU
rnacentral:piRNA from 1 species